rnacentral:rRNA from 1 species
GAUGAACGCUGGCGGCGUGCCUAAUACAUGCAAGUCGAGCGAACGGACGAGAAGCUUGCUUCUCUGAUGUUAGCGGCGGACGGGUGAGUAACACGUGGAUAACCUACCUAUAAGACUGGGAUAACUUCGGGAAACCGGAGCUAAUACCGGAUAAUAUUUUGAACCGCAUGGUUCAAAAGUGAAAGACGGUCUUGCUGUCACUUAUAAAUGGAUCCGCGCUGCAUUAGCUAGUUGGUAAGGUAACGGCUUACCAAGGCAACGAUGCAUAGCCGACCUGAGAGGGUGAUCGGCCACACUGGAACUGAGACACGGUCCAGACUCCUACGGGAGGCAGCAGUAGGGAAUCUUCCGCAAUGGGCGAAUGCCUGACGGAGCAACGCCGCGUGAGUGAUGAAGGUCUUCGGAUCGUAAAACUCUGUUAUUAGGGAAGAACAUAUGUGUAAGUAACUGUGCACAUCUUGACGGUACCUAAUCAGAAAGCCACGGCUAACUACGUGCCAGCAGCCGCGGUAAUACGUAGGUGGCAAGCGUUAUCCGGAAUUAUUGGGCGUAAAGCGCGCGUAGGCGGUUUUUUAAGUCUGAUGUGAAAGCCCACGGCUCAACCGUGGAGGGUCAUUGGAAACUGGAAAACUUGAGUGCAGAAGAGGAAAGUGGAAUUCCAUGUGUAGCGGUGAAAUGCGCAGAGAUAUGGAGGAACACCAGUGGCGAAGGCGACUUUCUGGUCUGUAACUGACGCUGAUGUGCGAAAGCGUGGGGAUCAAACAGGAUUAGAUACCCUGGUAGUCCACGCCGUAAACGAUGAGUGCUAAGUGUUAGGGGGUUUCCGCCCCUUAGUGCUGCAGCUAACGCAUUAAGCACUCCGCCUGGGGAGUACGACCGCAAGGUUGAAACUCAAAGGAAUUGACGGGGACCCGCACAAGCGGUGGAGCAUGUGGUUUAAUUCGAAGCAACGCGAAGAACCUUACCAAAUCUUGACAUCCUUUGACAACUCUAGAGAUAGAGCUUUCCCCUUCGGGGGACAAAGUGACAGGUGGUGCAUGGUUGUCGUCAGCUCGUGUCGUGAGAUGUUGGGUUAAGUCCCGCAACGAGCGCAACCCUUAAGCUUAGUUGCCAUCAUUAAGUUGGGCACUCUAAGUUGACUGCCGGUGACAAACCGGAGGAAGGUGGGGAUGACGUCAAAUCAUCAUGCCCCUUAUGAUUUGGGCUACACACGUGCUACAAUGGACAAUACAAAGGGCAGCGAAACCGUGAGGUCAAGCAAAUCCCAUAAAGUUGUUCUCAGUUCGGAUUGUAGUCUGCAACUCGACUACAUGAAGCUGGAAUCGCUAGUAAUCGUAGAUCAGCAUGCUACGGUGAAUACGUUCCCGGGUCU